rnacentral:rRNA from 1 species
UACGUAGGGGGCGAGCGUUGUCCGGAUUUAUUGGGCGUAAAGAGCUCGUAGGCGGCUUGGUAAGUCGGGUGUGAAACCUCCAGGCUCAACCUGGAGACGCCACCCGAUACUGCCAUGGCUAGAGUUCGGUAGGGGACCAUGGAAUUCCUGGUGUAGCGGUGAAAUGCGCAGAUAUCAGGAGGAACACCAGUAGCGAAGGCGGUGGUCUGGGCCGACACUGACGCUGAGGAGCGAAAGCGUGGGGAGCGAACAGG